CAGCCUGAUGCAGCGACGCCGCGUGCGGGAUGGAGGCCUUCGGGUUGUAAACCGCUUUUGUUCAAGGGCAAGGCACGGUUUCGGCCGUGUUGAGUGGAUUGUUCGAAUAAGCACCGGCUAACUACGUGCCAGCAGCCGCGGUAAUACGUAGGGUGCGAGCGUUAUCCGGAUUUAUUGGGCGUAAAGGGCUCGUAGGCGGUUCGUCGCGUCCGGUGUGAAAGUCCAUCGCCUAACGGUGGAUCUGCGCCGGGUACGGGCGGGCUGGAGUGCGGUAGGGGAGACUGGAAUUCCCGGUGUAACGGUGGAAUGUGUAGAUAUCGGGAAGAACACCAAUGGCGAAGGCAGGUCUCUGGGCCGUCACUGACGCUGAGGAGCGAAAGCGUGGGGAGCGAACAGGAUUAGAUACC
rnacentral:rRNA from 1 species